GAGCGAACGCUGGCGGCAGGCUUAACACAUGCAAGUCGAGCGGGCACCUUCGGGUGUCAGCGGCAGACGGGUGAGUAACACGUGGGAACGUGCCCUUUGGUUCGGAACAACUCCGGGAAACUGGAGCUAAUACCGGAUAAGCCCUUCGGGGAAAGAUUUAUCGCCAAAGGAUCGGCCCGCGUCUGAUUAGCUAGUUGGUGGGGUAACGGCUCACCAAGGCGACGAUCAGUAGCUGGUCUGAGAGGAUGAUCAGCCACACUGGGACUGAGACACGGCCCAGACUCCUACGGGAGGCAGCAGUGGGGAAUAUUGGACAAUGGGCGAAAGCCUGAUCCAGCCAUGCCGCGUGAGUGAUGAAGGCCCUAGGGUUGUAACCCCUGUCACCGGGAAGAACGCUAUGUUUAAUAGAUCAUAGCCUGACUUAACCCGGAGAGGAAGCAGUGGCUAACUCUGU
rnacentral:rRNA from 1 species